rnacentral:tRNA from 2 species
GAGGUUUUAGCUUAAUUAAAGUGUCUGAGUUGCAGUCAGGUGAUGUCGAUUAAAGUUCUGCAGGCCUUC